UACGAAGGGUGCAAGCGUUACUCGGAAUUACUGGGCGUAAAGCGCGCGUAGGCGGACCUGCAAGUCGGGGGUGAAAGCCCGAGGCUCAACCUCGGAACUGCCUUCGAUACUGCGGGUCUCGAGUCCGGGAGAGGUGAGUGGAAUUCCUAGUGUAGAGGUGAAAUUCGUAGAUAUUCGCAAGAACACCAGUGGCGAAGGCGGCUCACUGGCCCGAUACUGACACUGAAUAGCGAAAGCCAGGGGAGCAAACGGG
rnacentral:rRNA from 1 species